GACGUAGGGCGCAAGCGUUGUCCGGAAUUAUUGGGCGUAAAGAGCUCGUAGGCGGUUUGUCGCGUCUGGUGUGAAAACUCAAGGCUCAACCUUGAGCUUGCAUCGGGUACGGGCAGACUAGAGUGCGGUAGGGGUGACUGGAAUUCCUGGUGUAGCGGUGAAAUGCGCAGAUAUCAGGAGGAACACCGGUGGCGAAGGCGGGUCUCUGGGCCGAUACUGACGCUGAGGAGCGAAAGCGUGGGGAGCGAACAGG
rnacentral:rRNA from 1 species